UAUAAUUUACUUGAUCUUGACACAAUCCUACUUGGAUAACUGUGGUAAUUCUAGAGCUAAUACAUGCAUUAAAGCUCUGACCUCACGGGAAGAGUGCACUUAUUAGAACAAAACCAAGCGGCUUCGGCUGUUUUCGGUUGACUCAUAGUAACUGAGCUGAUCGCACGGUCUUGCACCGGCGACGUGUCUUUCAAGUAUCUGCCGUAUCAACUUUCGAUGGUAGUGUAUCUGACUACCAUGGUGAUCACGCGUAACGGAGAAUAAGGGUUCGGCUCCGGAGAGUUCGCCUGAGAAAUCGCGAACACAUCUAAGGAAGGCAGCAGGCGCGAAAAUUACCCACUCUCAGCACGAGGAGGUAGUGACGAAAAAUAACGAGACCGUUCUCUUAUGAGGCCGGUCAUCGGAAUGGGUACAAUUUAAACCCUUUAACGAGUAUCUAUGAGAGGGCAAGUCUGGUGCCAGCAGCCGCGGUAAUUCCAGCUCUCAAAGUGCAUAGAAUUAUUGCUGCGGUUAAAAAGCUCGUAGUUGGAUCUGUGCCAUAGGACGUGGUCCACCUUCUGGGUGCGUACUAUGUUCCUAGGCUUUUUGCUGGUUUUCCCGUCGUAGCCUUCAUUGGUUGCGGCGGGUGGCUGGCGAGUUUACUUUGAGAAAAUCAGAGUGCUCAACACAGGCGUAUCGCUUGAAUGAUUGUGCAUGGAAUAAUAGAAAAGGAUUUCGGUCCUCUUUUAUUGGUUUUGUGGACUGAGAUAAUGGUUAACAGGGACCAACGGGGGCAUUCGUAUCGCUGCGUGAGAGGUGAAAUUCUUGGACCGUAGCGAGACGCCCUACUGCGAAAGCAUUUGCCAAGAAUGUCUUCAUUAAUCAAGAACGAAAGUCAGAGGUUCGAA
rnacentral:rRNA from 1 species